GGGUUGUGAGGUUAAGCGACUAAGCGUACACGGUGGAUGCCCUGGCAGUCAGAGGCGAUGAAGGACGUGCUAAUCUGCGAUAAGCGUCGGUAAGGUGAUAUGAACCGUUAUAACCGGCGAUUUCCGAAUGGGGAAACCCAGUGUGAUUCGUCACACUAUCAUUAACUGAAUCCAUAGGUUAAUGAGGCGAACCGGGGGAACUGAAACAUCUAAGUACCCCGAGGAAAAGAAAUCAACCGAGAUUCCCCCAGUAGCGGCGAGCGAACGGGGAGCAGCCCAGAGCCUGAAUCAGUGUGUGUGUUAGUGGAAGCGUCUGGAAAGGCGUGCGAUACAGGGUGACAGCCCCGUACACAAAAAUGCACAUACUGUGAGCUCGAUGAGUAGGGCGGGACACGUGGUAUCCUGUCUGAAUAUGGGGGGACCAUCCUCCAAGGCUAAAUACUCCUGACUGACCGAUAGUGAACCAGUACCGUGAGGGAAAGGCGAAAAGAACCCCGGCGAGGGGAGUGAAAAAGAACCUGAAACCGUGUACGUACAAGCAGUGGGAGCACGCUUAGGCGUGUGACUGCGUACCUUUUGUAUAAUGGGUCAGCGACUUAUAUUCUGUAGCAAGGUUAACCGAAUAGGGGAGCCGAAGGGAAACCGAGUCUUAACUGGGCGUUAAGUUGCAGGGUAUAGACCCGAAACCCGGUGAUCUAGCCAUGGGCAGGUUGAAGGUUGGGUAACACUAACUGGAGGACCGAACCGACUAAUGUUGAAAAAUUAGCGGAUGACUUGUGGCUGGGGGUGAAAGGCCAAUCAAACCGGGAGAUAGCUGGUUCUCCCCGAAAGCUAUUUAGGUAGCGCCUCGUGAAUUCAUCUCCGGGGGUAGAGCACUGUUUCGGCAAGGGGGUCAUCCCGACUUACCAACCCGAUGCAAACUGCGAAUACCGGAGAAUGUUAUCACGGGAGACACACGGCGGGUGCUAACGUCCGUCGUGAAGAGGGAAACAACCCAGACCGCCAGCUAAGGUCCCAAAGUCAUGGUUAAGUGGGAAACGAUGUGGGAAGGCCCAGACAGCCAGGAUGUUGGCUUAGAAGCAGCCAUCAUUUAAAGAAAGCGUAAUAGCUCACUGGUCGAGUCGGCCUGCGCGGAAGAUGUAACGGGGCUAAACCAUGCACCGAAGCUGCGGCAGCGACGCUUAUGCGUUGUUGGGUAGGGGAGCGUUCUGUAAGCCUGCGAAGGUGUGCUGUGAGGCAUGCUGGAGGUAUCAGAAGUGCGAAUGCUGACAUAAGUAACGAUAAAGCGGGUGAAAAGCCCGCUCGCCGGAAGACCAAGGGUUCCUGUCCAACGUUAAUCGGGGCAGGGUGAGUCGACCCCUAAGGCGAGGCCGAAAGGCGUAGUCGAUGGGAAACAGGUUAAUAUUCCUGUACUUGGUGUUACUGCGAAGGGGGGACGGAGAAGGCUAUGUUGGCCGGGCGACGGUUGUCCCGGUUUAAGCGUGUAGGCUGGUUUUCCAGGCAAAUCCGGAAAAUCAAGGCUGAGGCGUGAUGACGAGGCACUACGGUGCUGAAGCAACAAAUGCCCUGCUUCCAGGAAAAGCCUCUAAGCAUCAGGUAACAUCAAAUCGUACCCCAAACCGACACAGGUGGUCAGGUAGAGAAUACCAAGGCGCUUGAGAGAACUCGGGUGAAGGAACUAGGCAAAAUGGUGCCGUAACUUCGGGAGAAGGCACGCUGAUAUGUAGGUGAAGUCCCUCGCGGAUGGAGCUGAAAUCAGUCGAAGAUACCAGCUGGCUGCAACUGUUUAUUAAAAACACAGCACUGUGCAAACACGAAAGUGGACGUAUACGGUGUGACGCCUGCCCGGUGCCGGAAGGUUAAUUGAUGGGGUCAGCGCAAGCGAAGCUCUUGAUCGAAGCCCCGGUAAACGGCGGCCGUAACUAUAACGGUCCUAAGGUAGCGAAAUUCCUUGUCGGGUAAGUUCCGACCUGCACGAAUGGCGUAAUGAUGGCCAGGCUGUCUCCACCCGAGACUCAGUGAAAUUGAACUCGCUGUGAAGAUGCAGUGUACCCGCGGCAAGACGGAAAGACCCCGUGAACCUUUACUAUAGCUUGACACUGAACAUUGAGCCUUGAUGUGUAGGAUAGGUGGGAGGCUUUGAAGUGUGGACGCCAGUCUGCAUGGAGCCGACCUUGAAAUACCACCCUUUAAUGUUUGAUGUUCUAACGUUGACCCGUAAUCCGGGUUGCGGACAGUGUCUGGUGGGUAGUUUGACUGGGGCGGUCUCCUCCUAAAGAGUAACGGAGGAGCACGAAGGUUGGCUAAUCCUGGUCGGACAUCAGGAGGUUAGUGCAAUGGCAUAAGCCAGCUUGACUGCGAGCGUGACGGCGCGAGCAGGUGCGAAAGCAGGUCAUAGUGAUCCGGUGGUUCUGAAUGGAAGGGCCAUCGCUCAACGGAUAAAAGGUACUCCGGGGAUAACAGGCUGAUACCGCCCAAGAGUUCAUAUCGACGGCGGUGUUUGGCACCUCGAUGUCGGCUCAUCACAUCCUGGGGCUGAAGUAGGUCCCAAGGGUAUGGCUGUUCGCCAUUUAAAGUGGUACGCGAGCUGGGUUUAGAACGUCGUGAGACAGUUCGGUCCCUAUCUGCCGUGGGCGCUGGAGAACUGAGGGGGGCUGCUCCUAGUACGAGAGGACCGGAGUGGACGCAUCACUGGUGUUCGGGUUGUCAUGCCAAUGGCACUGCCCGGUAGCUAAAUGCGGAAGAGAUAAGUGCUGAAAGCAUCUAAGCACGAAACUUGCCCCGAGAUGAGUUCUCCCUGACUCCUUGAGAGUCCUGAAGGAACGUUGAAGACGACGACGUUGAUAGGCCGGGUGUGUAAGCGCAGCGAUGCGUUGAGCUAACCGGUACUAAUGAACCGUGAGGCUUAACCUUACAACGCCGAAG
rnacentral:rRNA from 2 species